ACUCAAAGGAAUAGACGGGGACCCGCACAACUGGUGGAGCGUGUGGUUUAAUUCGAGACAAAGCGAAGCACCUUACCAGGGCUUGACAUGCUAGAGUUCUAUGCUCGUGAAAGCGAGCAAAUCCGUAAGGAGACUAGCACAGGUGCUGCAUGGCUGUCGUCAGCUCGUGCCGUGAGGUGUUCCCUUAAGUGGGGAAACGAGCGCAACCCCCGUGAAAUGUUAAAUUUUCAUUUCAGACGGUCCCGAUUCAAUCGGGAAGGAAGGAGGGGAAGACGUCAAGUCAGCACGGCCCUUAUGCCCUGGGUUACACACACCCUACAAUGGCGAACAACAACGAGCCGCAAGCUAGCAAUAGCAAGCAAAUCUCUAAAAUUUCGCCUCAGUUCAGAUUGGGGGCUGCAACCCGCCCCCAUGAAGGAGGAAUCAGUAGUAAUCGCGGAUCAGCAGGCCGCGGUGAAUACGUUCUCGGGUCUUGUACACACCGCCCGU
rnacentral:rRNA from 1 species